CGAGGUUUUCUUCUUUCCAAAUUUAUGAAGAUAUCUUGAAGUACAGCGUGACUGGAAGUUUUAAAAAAUGCAUUCUGCCUCCAGAUUUUUCUUGUGCAUGCAGCAGAGAGCCUGCCUUCUUACCACGCAAAAAUACCAGAUUGACAAAUACCAAGUGUUAUUUCCUGACCAGGGCUGGAGCCUGGCUGGCUUGCGUAAACUGUGAUUUUACCCAUUGCAGUUGUGAAAUUAGGCAGUUAAGACGAGCUUUCUGCAUAUUAACGAGAGAGAUGGCCUACUUCGGCAGCGCUUGGGCUCUCCCUGUACUUGAAGGAAUUUUUCCCGAAGCUGGCAUGUACUGCUGAUCUUGAGCUGUAAAUAAAAGGAGAGAGGAGUAAAUAUUCCAAGGUGAACACAGUCUGCCGGACACUUUCAUAGUUGCUGGGAUAUAAAUAACAGCAGGCUGUAAUGCUCUUGGAAUCCAUUUGAAGUCCGAGGCUUUGCCAACUGAAAAUACCCUGCCUUGGGAGCAGCUACACGGGCACCCGUGGGUACCUCUGUAGAUCCAGAACUGUGCAGUGGGUUGUUACCCUGCUUGGACAUGUUGAAUAAGAGAGUUCCUUCCUCUGUCCCUACCUGUGAGAAUUAAACUUAAAUUGCAUAUGA